GUGGGGAAUCUUCCACAAUGGACGAAAGUCUGAUGGAGCAACGCCGCGUGAGUGAAGAAGGGUUUCGGCUCGUAAAGCUCUGUUGUCGGGGACGAAUGUGCAGUAUUUGAAUAAAGUGCUGUAAUGACGGUACCUGACGAGGAAGCCACGGCUAACUACGUGCCAGCAGCCGCGGUAAUACGUAGGUGGCAAGCGUUGUCCGGAAUUAUUGGGCGUAAAGGGAGCGCAGGCGGGAAGGUAAGUCGGUCUUAAAAGUGCGGGGCUCAACCCCGUGAUGGGAUCGAAACUAUCUUUCUUGAGUGCAGGAGAGGAAAGUGGAAUUCCUAGUGUAGCGGUGAAAUGCGUAGAUAUUAGGAGGAACACCAGUGGCGAAGGCGACUUUCUGGACUGUAACUGACGCUGAGGCUCGAAAGCCAGGGGAGCGAACGGGAUUAGAAACCCCGGUAGUCC
rnacentral:rRNA from 1 species